CCAGCCCCUGGAGGAGUUGCAGGUGUCACUGCCUUGUCAUGUGUGCAUCAGUCGGCAGCAGGGAGGAAAGAGCUGUGUCUACACUCAGCGUUCUGACCUGUGACCAUUGGAACGAUAAGUAGACUAACGCU
ensembl:snoRNA LOC120098397 small nucleolar RNA SNORA17